GCCCAGGUAGCUCAGUUGGUAGAGCAGAGGACUGAAAAUCCUUGUGUCCGUGGUUCAAUUCCGCGCCUGGGCA
rnacentral:tRNA from 1 species